AUAACAGUUAGAAAUGACUGCUAAUACCGCAUAAGCGCACAGGACUGCAUGGUCCAGUGUGAAAAACCGAGGUGGUAUGAGAUGGACCCGCGUCUGAUUAGCUGGUUGGCGGGGUAACGGCCCACCAAGGCGACGAUCAGUAGCCGACCUGAGAGGGUGGCCGGCCACAUUGGGACUGAGACACGGCCCAAACUCCUACGGGAGGCAGCAGUGGGGAAUAUUGCACAAUGGGGGAAACCCUGAUGCAGCAACGCCGCGUGAGUGAAGAAGUAUUUCGGUAUGUAAAGCUCUAUCAGCAGGGAAGAGAAUGACGGUACCUGACUAAGAAGCCCCGGCUAACUACGUGCCAGCAGCCGCGGUAAUACGUAGGGGGCGAGCGUUAUCCGGAUUUACUGGGUGUAAAGGGAGCGUAGACGGUUCUGCAAGUCUGAAGUGAAAGCCCGUGGCUUAACCGCGGAACGGCUUUGGAAACUGUGGAACUGGAGUGCUGGAGAGGCAAGCGGAAUUCCUAGUGUAGCGGUGAAAUGCGUAGAUAUUAGGAGGAACACCAGUGGCGAAGGCGGCUUGCUGGACAGUAACUGACGUUGAGGCUCGAAAGCGUGGGGAGCAAACAGGAUUAGAUACCCUGGUAGUCCACGCGGUAAACGAUGAAUGCUAGGUGUCGGGGAGCAAAGCUCUUCGGUG
rnacentral:rRNA from 1 species